UGUGUAGACGGUCUUGCAAGUCAGGGGUGAAAUCUCUCGGCUCAACCGAGAAACUGCCUUUGAGACUGCAGGACUUGAGGGCGUGAGAGGAGACUGGAAUUCCUAGUGUAGCGGUGAAAUGCAUAGAUAUUAGGAGGAACACCAGUGGCGAAGGCGAGUCUCUGGCACGCAUCUGACGCUGAAACACGGAAGCCAGGGGAGCGAACG
rnacentral:rRNA from 1 species